rnacentral:rRNA from 1 species
UGGAAACGACUGCUAAGACUGGAUAGGAGACAAGAAGGCAUCUUCUUGUUUUUAAAAGACCUAGCAAUAGGUAUGCUUAGGGAGGGGCUUGCGUCACAUUAGUUAGUUGGUGGGGUAAAGGCCUACCAAGACUAUGAUGUGUAGCCGGGCUGAGAGGUUGAACGGCCACAUUGGGACUGAGACACGGCCCAAACUCCUACGGGAGGCAGCAGUAGGGAAUUUUCGGCAAUGGAGGAAACUCUGACCGAGCAACGCCGCGUGAACGAUGAAGUAUUUCGGUACGUAAAGUUCUUUUAUUAAGGAAGAAUAAAUGAUGGAAAAAUCAUUCUGACGGUACCUAAUGAAUAAGCCCCGGCUAACUAUGUGCCAGCAGCCGCGGUAAUACAUAGGGGGCAAGCGUUAUCCGGAAUUAUUGGGCGUAAAGGGUGCGUAGGCGGUUAAAUAAGUUUAUGGUCUAAGUGCAAUGCUCAACAUUGUGAUGCUAUAAAAACUGUUUAGCUAGAGUAAGAUAGAGGCAAGUGGAAUUCCAUGUGUAGUGGUAAAAUGCGUAAAUAUAUGUAGGAACACCAGUAGCGAAGGCGGCUUGCUGGGUCUUUACUGACGCUGAGGCACGAAAGCGUGGGGAGCAAACAGGAUUAGAUACCCUGGUAGUCCACGCCGUAAACGAUGAGUACUAAACGUUGGGUAAAACCAGUGUUGAAGUUAACACAUUAAGUACUCCGCCUGAGUAGUACGUACGCAAGUAUGAAACUUAAAGGAAUUGACGGGACUCCGCACAAGCGGUGGAUCAUGUUGUUUAAUUCGAAGGUACCCGAAAAACCUCACCAGGUCUUGACAUGCUUCUGCAAAGCUGUAGAAACACAGUGGAGGUUAUCAGUUGCACAGGUGGUGCAUGGUUGUCGUCAGCUCGUGUCGUGAGAUGUUGGGUUAAGUCCCGCAACGAGCGCAACCCUUAUUGUUAGUUACCAGCACGUAAUGGUGGGGACUUUAGCAAGACUGCCAGUGAUAAAUUGGAGGAAGGUGGGGACGACGUCAAAUCAUCAUGCCCCUUAUGACCUGGGCUACAAACGUGAUACAAUGGCUGUUACAAAGGGUAGCUGAAGCGCAAGUUUUUGGCGAAUCUCAAAAAAACAGUCUCAGUUCGGAUUGAAGUCUGCAACUCGACUUCAUGAAGUUGGAAUCGCUAGUAAUCGCGAAUCAGCAUGUCGCGGUGAAUACGUUCUCGGGGUUUGUACACACCGCCCGUCAAAC